rnacentral:rRNA from 1 species
UAGGGAAUCUUCGGCAAUGGGGGCAACCCUGACCGAGCAACGCCGCGUGAGUGAAGAAGGUUUUCGGAUCGUAAAGCUCUGUUGUAAGAGAAGAACGUGUGUGAGAGUGGAAAGUUCACACAGUGACGGUAACUUACCAGAAAGGGACGGCUAACUACGUGCCAGCAGCCGCGGUAAUACGUAGGUCCCGAGCGUUGUCCGGAUUUAUUGGGCGUAAAGCGAGCGCAGGCGGUUUAAUAAGUCUGAAGUUAAAGGCAGUGGCUUAACCAUUGUUCGCUUUGGAAACUGUUAAACUUGAGUGCAGAAGGGGAGAGUGGAAUUCCAUGUGUAGCGGUGAAAGGCGUAGAUAUAUGGAGGAACACCGGUGGCGAAAGCGGCUCUCUGGUCUGUAACUGACGCUGAGGCUCGAAAGCGUGGGGAGCAAACAGG